AUGUUGACUCAUUCUUCUCUAAUCAUAGCAAUUAGGUUCAAAUCCUGGAGUCCACAGGAGAGGGCUCUUUUUGGUCCCGAAUAUCCUGAAUGUCUGAGAAGCAAGGACUGCCUGCUUGUUACUCUGGAUCGUCAAGUGUCUGGUUCAGACCCCUUCCUGUGGGAGAUGGGAAAGAACUCGGUGCUUAGGACUGAACCUGGCCAGCCAGGGUGCUGCACAGCGAGAGGCUUGUCAUGAGAGGACAGACGCUGUUUCCAACUUCGUCCCAGCUUCGCUUUUCACAGGCCAUCGAAACUGAGAACAGUCUUGUUCCACAUGACAACCAGGACAGGUCACAGGUAUGGCUGUAGUAUGGCAAGAUCACAGUGCCCGGGGACAU
rnacentral:lncRNA from 1 species